rnacentral:tRNA from 1 species
GGGGCUGUAGCUCAGUGGCAGAGUACUUGCCUAGCAUGCAUGAGGCACUGAGUUCGAUUCUCAGCACCACA